ACAUGCCUACAUCAUAGCGUUAAUGCACCGAAUCCCAUUAGAAAUACAUAAUUAAGCGCGCUGAGGCUAGAGUAGUACUGGGAUGGAUGAUCACCCGGGAAGUCCUAGAGUUUUACAUGCC
rnacentral:rRNA from 1 species